rnacentral:rRNA from 1 species
CCCUUAGACGUUCUGGGCCGCACGCGCGCUACACUGACGAAGGCAACGAGCUUUCCUUUACCGAAAGGUACGGGUAAUCUUUUGAAACUUCGUCGUGCUGGGGAUAGAUCCUUGCAAUUUUUGAUCUUAAACGAGGAAUGCCUAGUAAGCGCAAGUCAUCAACUUGCGUUGAUUUCGUCCCUGCCCUUUGUACACACCGCCCGUCGCUACUACCGAUUGAAUGGUUUAGUGAGGCCUUCGGAUCCGCGACUCGUUUGUGGAGAAGUUGGACAAACUCAGUCAUUUAGAGGAAGUAAAAGUCGUAACA